CGGCAGCGCGGGUUUCGGCCUGGCGGCGAGUGGCGAACGGGUGAGUAAURCAUCGGAACGUGUCUGUAGAGGGGGAUAGCCCGGCGAAAGCCGGAUUAAUACCGCAUAYUWUCUACGGAUGAAAGCGGGGGACCUUAGGGCCUCGCGCUAUAGGGGCGGCCGAUGUCRGAUUAGCUWGUUGGUGRGGUAARRGCYUACCAAGGCRAYGAUCCGUAGCUGGUCUGAGAGGAYGACCAGCCACACUGGGACUGAGACACGGCCCAGACUCCUACGGGAGGCAGCAGUGGGGAAUUUUGGACAAUGGGGGCAACCCUGAUCCAGCAAUGCCGCGUGUGUGAAGAAGGCCUUCGGGUUGUAAAGCACUUUUGUUCGGGAAGAAARCGUUAGGGUWAAUAMUCUKAAUGGAUGACGGUACCGGAAGAAUAAGCACCGGCUAACUACGUGCCAGCAGCCGCGGUAAUACGUAGGGUGCAAGCGUUAAUCGGAAUWAUUGGGCGUAAAGGGUGCGYAGGCGGUKWGUUAAGACGGAUGUGAAAUCCCCGGGCUCAACCUGGGAACUGCAUACGUGACUGGCWSACUAGARUAUGGCAGAGGGAGGURGAAUUCCACGUGUAGCAGUGAAAUGCGUAGAUAUGUGGAGGAACACCGAUGGCGAAGGCAGCCUCCU
rnacentral:rRNA from 1 species